GAGGAGCAGCUCUGCUAAUGUGAGCUGGGGGAGAACCACAGCCUACGCAGUCACUUUGGUUCCCUCUCGCUGAGGAGGAACUCAUGUACUGCUGCACAGAGUGUGGAAUCAGAGGCAUAGCGAGCCUAGGACUCAAGCUGUCCUGAAAGAACUCUCCACAAGGCUUUUGAUGGACGAUGGGCACCACCUGACAAGGCCUCAGUGCUGCAACAAAAGCACGGAGCUCGGAUUCAACAAGAGACAGCAUCUACCAAGCAUCAAGCGCUGUGGAAACAGAUGAAGAAGGUUUCAGCUCUCCAAGGUACCAUCCAACUGCAGACUCAGAAACAAUGUAGUGAAGGGUGGUUUUUCACACACAGGUACAAGUGUCAUAAAAGGCACAGAAGAGCAGCAGCUGCCAGGUGAUGAAAUUAGGAAAAGUUUCUGUAAAACGACAGGUGACAGCUGGGCCAGGUCCACUUUGGGGGAUGGGUGGGGAAAAGUUUAAGUAUUUCUUUGGGGAGAAAAGAACAACACACUUCCAUCUAAUUAAAGAAACUCACCAUACAAUCUAGAGGCUAUCUAUUUCUCUAUAUCUAAUCUAUUAAGCCAUGAAGUCAUAGACUAGCUCAGGCUCCUCUCCAUCAGUUCCCACAAAGUGUGGCUCUCUGGGCAGCACAGGCAGGCAGUUUACUGACCUCAGCUCCCUUCCCCUUCAGCUUUUCUUUUGCUGAUCCCUUUCCUUCACCUGUUCUGUGUGUUCUCACGCCACACAGAGCUUCACAUGCUCAAUGUGUAUCAGUUCUCUUAGCAAGAAUCCUAUCUGUACCUUGCUGUUUACAACAAUGCCAACAGCAUGCUGUGUCAGUCACACUAGAGACUCUUGAGUUCUGCCACUGUAAUGCUUACAGGCCACUCCUUUUUGAACAGUAUGUAGUCUCUUGAUUCAAUAAUACCUCCCUGCCUGAACAUUCACACAGACGUGCUGAAGGAAAAACUCCAUGCUUUCCAAAAGGCUUAGAGAUUAUACGUCAGGGCCCGGAUCCAGUGCUUAGACACCUGAGGAAAACAGUUGGUCACCCGAGUAACAAUAGACUUCUCUUUCGUCAAGGAAAGCUGACCGAGUUCUGAACCACUCUCAUGUAAGCUGUUAUAAGGAUUCCCAAGAAAUCUCUCCUUCCUCUUCUGUCUCCCACCCUUUGUACAGAUUUAAACUCAGAAUCUGAAAACAGUCUAAAUAAAGAUUCUCACACUUUCUCC
ensembl:processed_transcript Gm15471 predicted gene 15471